GAUGAACGCUGGCGGCGUGCCUAGUACAUGCAAGUAGAACGCUGAAGGAGGAGCUUGCUCUUCUGGAUGAGUUGCGAACGGGUGAGUAACGCGUAGGUAACCUGCCUGGUAGCGGGGGAUAACUAUUGGAAACGAUAGCUAAUACCGCAUGACAACAGUUAUUGCAUGAUAACUGUUUAAAAGGGGCAACUGCUCCACUACCAGAUGGACCUGCGUUGUAUUAGCUAGUUGGUGAGGUAACGGCUCACCAAGGCGACGAUACAUAGCCGACCUGAGAGGGGGAUCGGCCACACUGGGACUGAGACACGGCCCAGACUCCUACGGGAGGCAGCAGUAGGGAAUCUUCGGCAAUGGACGGAAGUCUGACCGAGCAACGCCGCGUGAGUGAAGAAGGUUUUCGGAUCGUAAAGCUCUGUUGUAAGAGAAGAACGAGUGUGAGAGUGGAAAGUUCACACUGUGACGGUAUCUUACCAGAAAGGGACGGCUAACUACGUG
rnacentral:rRNA from 1 species